UACGAAGGGGGCUAGCGUUGCUCGGAAUCACUGGGCGUAAAGCGCACGUAGGCGGCUUGUUAAGUCAGGGGUGAAAUCCUGGAGCUCAACUCCAGAACUGCCUUUGAUACUGGCGAGCUUGAGUUCGGGAGAGGUGAGUGGAACUGCGAGUGUAGAGGUGAAAUUCGUAGAUAUUCGCAAGAACACCAGUGGCGAAGGCGGCUCACUGGCUCGAUACUGACGCUGAGGUGCGAAAGCGUGGGGAGCAAACAGG
rnacentral:rRNA from 1 species